UACGUAGGGGGCAAGCGUUGUCCGGAUUUAUUGGGCGUAAAGAGCGUGUAGGCGGCUAGGUAGGUCCGUUGUGAAAACUCGAGGCUCAACCUCGAGACGCCGAUGGAAACCAUCUGGCUAGAGUCCGGAAGAGGAGAAUGGAAUUCCUGGUGUAGCGGUGAAAUGCGCAGAUAUCAGGAAGAACACCCGUGGCUAAGGCGGUUCUCUAGUACGGUACUGACGCUGAGACGCGAAAGCGUGGGGAGCGAACAGG
rnacentral:rRNA from 1 species